rnacentral:rRNA from 1 species
GGCUCAGAUUGAACGCUGGCGGCAGGCCUAACACAUGCAAGUCGAGCGGUAGCACAGAGAGCUUGCUCUCGGGUGACGAGCGGCGGACGGGUGAGUAAUGUCUGGGAAACUGCCUGAUGGAGGGGGAUAACUACUGGAAACGGUAGCUAAUACCGCAUAAUGUCGCAAGACCAAAGUGGGGGACCUUCGGGCCUCAUGCCAUCAGAUGUGCCCAGAUGGGAUUAGCUAGUAGGUGGGGUAACGGCUCACCUAGGCGACGAUCCCUAGCUGGUCUGAGAGGAUGACCAGCCACACUGGAACUGAGACACGGUCCAGACUCCUACGGGAGGCAGCAGUGGGGAAUAUUGCACAAUGGGCGCAAGCCUGAUGCAGCCAUGCCGCGUGUGUGAAGAAGGCCUUCGGGUUGUAAAGCACUUUCAGCGGGGAGGAAGGCGAUAAGGUUAAUAACCUUGUCGAUUGACGUUACCCGCAGAAGAAGCACCGGCUAACUCCGUGCCAGCAGCCGCGGUAAUACGGAGGGUGCAAGCGUUAAUCGGAAUUACUGGGCGUAAAGCGCACGCAGGCGGUCUGUCAAGUCGGAUGUGAAAUCCCCGGGCUCAACCUGGGAACUGCAUUCGAAACUGGCAGGCUAGAGUCUUGUAGAGGGGGGUAGAAUUCCAGGUGUAGCGGUGAAAUGCGUAGAGAUCUGGAGGAAUACCGGUGGCGAAGGCGGCCCCCUGGACAAAGACUGACGCUCAGGUGCGAAAGCGUGGGGAGCAAACAGGAUUAGAUACCCUGGUAGUCCACGCCGUAAACGAUGUCGAUUUGGAGGUUGUGCCCUUGAGGCGUGGCUUCCGGAGCUAACGCGUUAAAUCGACCGCCUGGGGAGUACGGCCGCAAGGUUAAAACUCAAAUGAAUUGACGGGGGCCCGCACAAGCGGUGGAGCAUGUGGUUUAAUUCGAUGCAACGCGAAGAACCUUACCUGGUCUUGACAUCCACAGAACUUAGCAGAGAUGCUUUGGUGCCUUCGGGAACUGUGAGACAGGUGCUGCAUGGCUGUCGUCAGCUCGUGUUGUGAAAUGUUGGGUUAAGUCCCGCAACGAGCGCAACCCUUAUCCUUUGUUGCCAGCGGUUAGGCCGGGAACUCAAAGGAGACUGCCAGUGAUAAACUGGAGGAAGGUGGGGAUGACGUCAAGUCAUCAUGGCCCUUACGACCAGGGCUACACACGUGCUACAAUGGCAUAUACAAAGAGAAGCGACCUCGCGAGAGCAAGCGGACCUCAUAAAGUAUGUCGUAGUCCGGAUUGGAGUCUGCAACUCGACUCCAUGAAGUCGGAAUCGCUAGUAAUCGUAGAUCAGAAUGCUACGGUGAAUACGUUCCCGGGCCUUGUACACACCGCCCGUCACACCAUGGGAGUGGGUUGCAAAAGAAGUAGGUAGCUUAACCUUCGGGAGGGCGCUUACCACUUUGUGAUUCAUGACUGGGGUGAAGUC